UACGAAGGGGGCUAGCGUUGCUCGGAAUUACUGGGCGUAAAGCGCACGUAGGCGGCCUGUUAAGUCGGGGGUGAAAUCCUGGAGCUCAACUCCAGAACUGCCUUCGAUACUGGCGAUCUCGAGUUCGGGAGAGGUGAGUGGAACUGCGAGUGUAGAGGUGAAAUUCGUAGAUAUUAGGAAGAACACCAGUGGCGAAGGCGGCUCACUGGUCCGGUACUGACGCUGAGGUGCGAAAGCGUGGGGAGCAAACAGG
rnacentral:rRNA from 1 species